rnacentral:rRNA from 1 species
UACAGAGGUGGCAAGCGUUGUUCGGAAUUACUGGGCGUAAAGGGCGCGUAGGCGGCCAUCUAAGUCAGACGUGAAAUCCCCCGGCUUAACCUGGGAACUGCGUCUGAUACUGGACGGCUUGAGUAUGGGAGAGGGAUGUAGAAUUCCAGGUGUAGCGGUGAAAUGCGUAGAUAUCUGGAGGAAUACCGGUGGCGAAGGCGGCUCACUGGCCCGGUACUGACGCUGAGGUGCGAAAGCGUGGGGAGCAAACAGG